CUUAUCGAGAGCGGCGGAGGGAACAGGCCCCGUGAAGCCCGGCAACCUAUACGGUUAACCGUGAAAAGGUGCUAAAUCCUGCGGAGAUUUCUCCGAAAGAUGAGG
rnacentral:ncRNA from 1 species